rnacentral:lncRNA from 1 species
CCACCUAGUAAAUCUAUUGCAGUAAUAAAUGUGCAUUAAAUGUGAAUCACCUACCUCAUACCUUUGACUUAUAUUUAUACUUUUUUAUCAUGGGCUUAUAAUUAGUGCAAUCUUAAUCACGGCCCAAUACCGGCUCAGUAGUCCUAAUCACGUCUUACCUUAAUCCUGUCCUAAUCCNAGAAUUAUGGUCGGUCGUCCUUAGUGAGACACUCAGUUGUGUCUUUUUCAAGACAAGUCCUAUACUGCCCGCUCCAUCUAGUACACAGGCCCC